AAAUCAUGUAAAUACAAUUUCUUUAGGCAUUUAUGAAACUACACAUUUCUUGGAGUUUGAGUCAGUUUUGCUUUUGAAAUGACGAGUCUUUUCUGGAAAAAAUAAGAUAACAUUUAUGAAUACCUAAAAUUUUUAAAGCACUGAUUGUCUACCAGGCACUAUUAUUCAUUAAAUCCCACAACAGCCCUUUGAAGUAAACAUUUUUAUUUUCUUUCCUAGUUAAUAAAUGAGAAGGUUGUCACAGGAAGGUCAUAGAACUUGCUCGAGGUUUACAACCAGUCAGUCAGCUUUGGAGUUCAAGAGUGAGCUCACACAGCCUUGCGUCAGAACACAUACCCUUAGCCAGUUCAGUGGACUGCAUCUUCAUCUUCUCUAAGAGUUCUUAUGGAACCUCUUUCAUAGGAAGAAUACAUUUAACCCUUUUCCCAUUUAGAAAAAAAAGUGCAGCUCACUGCCAGCACUUCUUCAAUUUUACAUAAAUACGCUCUUUGAGGCUGAAGCAAAUCUGAUUUUCAUUGUGAAAAACAAAUAUACAAACUUCUUGGAGUUAUUUCUAAACAGAACUAACAUCAGAAUAGUCUGAAUCAUCCGAAUCAUCAAUUUCUGAAAAAUUGGAUUCAUGGAAUGAAUCUUUGGCCAACAAUUGUUUGAGAACGAUGUUAACAUCACAUAUAGGAAUGCUACAUUUUCUAGGACUUGACAUUUUCAAUGAUCAAGAAUUUCCAUAUUUUGUAAAUGGAAAUACCACUAGUAAAACCAGAAUGCUAUAAGUAGAAUGAUAUCUUUUGUUUCCAAAGUCAAUAUACUAGAGUGAUCCAAAAAUAAUAAUAAAAACAAGAUAAUUCAUGGCAAAGUUUUUUCAGGGUAAAUGCUGCAAGCACCACUGGUGAGUAUUCUCGGGGCCAAUGGGAACAGGGUAAAAGUUGAGGGAAAAACUCCAAUAUUAUGAGAUCAUGUGAUGGAAGGUAAGUAUCCACACAUUGUUCCUUGUACCUACUACUGCUGGAAACUAUUGGAUCAGUCGGUGUUCACUCAUUUAUCUUCUUGCUCCAGGUAAAACUGCUUCAGUGAAAAUAAUGGCAGAUGUUCCUGUAUUUUGCUUGAAUGCUUGUUAUUACAUGAGAGCUACAACACCGCCUAAUUUAUUGAUAAGUUUUUAAAGGAUCUUUCCUGACAAUAUGGUCAGUGAUUUUGGCAGACUGAUUUUUAGCAAUAACCUCAGGUGGCAAAGUAAUAGCCUGUCUGCUCUUUUUGUUCUACCUAGAGAUAACAUUUUCAAAUACACUAACCUGCAGUUUAUCAACAGGGGUAAAAUGGCAUUUUGAGCAAGACAACUCUUAGUCGUGGAGAACAAUCCUAUAACUGUAUGGGAUAGUUUAGCACUUCUGCCCCACCCCACCUGCCCCCACCACACAUACACAUAAACAAAAACACUCCCACACUUUUUCAAAUGCUGAGUAGGGGGAUGACACAGAACUGCCAGGCUAAUGAGUAACCAGUAUUGACUGGGUCAUUCCCCAAAGGAGAAGCUGCUGACAGCUUACAAGCCCCUUCCAUAGUUCCAUACUCCGUGUGAGCCACAGCUAACACCACGCUGGGGCUGUAGCUGGUCAGGAUGAUAUUUCUGUAGACUGCUUCCUGAAAUUUUAAGGGAGAAAGAAUUUCUGUUGUUGAAACUGUCACUUACCAGCUAGUUUUGGGAAACCUGCGUGUACCAGCUCUUCAUACAGUUGCUUGGCCGGGUCACCCUGAGUCAUCAGGGUCCCGUGUAGCCAGAUAAGCAGAGCCCUGUGGCCAUGUUCACGGAAGCUUUCAUUUCCUGUGCCAAGCACAAGAGGUCCGAGGUAAAACACCACGAGCUGCUAUCUCUUUCCAUUGUGAUCUCAGUUCCAACUAAACUUUCUGAAUGACUGUUUGCUUGCCUGUUCCUCUUCGAAAAAAGCCCUUCCAGUUGCCCUCGCUGUGCUGCUUUAUGAUGACCAGCAUUUGCUUUCCCUCCAGCCUGUGCUAUGCACCUGCUAUGCUUGGCACACACCCAAAGGAGUGUACAAGAGAGAGGACAGCUGUGGUGCCUGCCCAGGGGGAACAAUUUUAAUGAAAUAUGCAACUUCUCAUAGACCAGUGCUCUUCAAACUCACAGUGCUUAUUUCACCUGGGUAUCUUACUAAAAUGCAAGUUUGGAUUCAGUAGGUCUGGGGUAAGAAUCCAUGCAUCUAACAAACUCCCGGGUGCUGCUGCCACUGCUGCUCCAUAUUCCCCACUCUGAGCAGCAAGCAUGCACCAUUCAUUCUGCCACUCCAGUCUCAAGGAAGCUACUCUGAGGGAAGUUUGCAUCCCUGGGCCAGGAUUAUUCAUUUGAUAAAUACUCACUGCAUAUCUCAGCCUAGAGAGGUGUUGGGGGAAGUACCGGGAUAGGGAGCCACAAAGCCUCUGUGGUUCCCAACAGGACUUCACUACAGGCUCCUUGCUCUGAGAGAGAGUGUGCAGGAGCAGACAUGCUGUGCAAGGGAAGGGCCUGAGCUCUGCAGGGGUGAGGGAGAAGUUCACUGGACAGACUGAUAUGGAGAAGCGGGCAUUUCAGGGAGAGGGAACUGCAUACUUACAGAAUGUACUCCUGGACAAGUCCUCUGUUCCUUUCCUAAUCUUGCUCUUGACAAACUAAUUUUUCUUAAAUACCAUCAUGAGUCUGUCACUCCUUUGAUCAAAAGCCCACAAACUCCCCAGUGCCAGUAACCUUACCCUGGAUCACAAUAUAAUUGAAUUGCAAGUGUCAUUGUUAUUGUGCCAACUAGAUUAUAAACUCCAUCAAACAUGCAUGGCUUAGAGAGCUGAUGUAUCUAUCCCUCAUCCAGCAGAAAUAAACACUCCAGGCCCUCCAUAAAGGUUCCAUCGAAACACUUUAAAAUCCCCCUUAUCCUGCUGGCAAGUACUCUGAAGAUACACUAUAUUUUCAAGUCAUCUCUUUAGGUCAAGUUAGAGUUCCAGGAGGCAACUCAAUUUUCCUAAAGACUUCACAGAACACUAUAAGCCUAAUUAAUGACAAAAAAGAAAUCUUAACAAUAAAAAAAUUUUUCUAGUUAGAAACUAGUUAGUAUUCAAUGUUUUCAAUACAUUAUCUUCUAUUUUUCACAUGAAAAUGUAUCCUAAGAAUGUGCAAUACAAAGUCUCAUAAUUUACUUGUAUGUGGUAUAAAUAGUGUGUGCUCAUGGACUGUGCUUCUGCCAUCCCCAGUUCCCAGCAAUCCCUAAUACAAAUAGACCCCUGAGCAAGGACACCUUCUCGUCUUAGGAUGUCCAUGAGAGGGCAGUGCUCUGAAUAGAAAACUUUGCCAAGAAACAUGUUUGCUUCAUUGUUUUCAAAGCUAAUUAGUUGAUUAAUGCCAAGUAAACUUUCUAUGUUUCCUAGGUUUUCGUCUAACCACAAAAAACAAAAUUAAGGAAUCUAGCUGACCUGACUUCACUAAUUAUGACAGUUUGAGUCCAGCUGAAAUGAUUCCAUUGCUUGGAAUCAUCUAGCCAAGAAAGCCCUCUGAGUCUGUAUUUGCCGUGUCGCUCAUGGCACAGCCAAGUCUCCCCUAAGGCAGUGUCCUACAACAACCCUUUCUCCUACACCCACCUGCUUUAAGGAAUUCCUCUUUCUGGAGCGCAGACUUAAACAGCGAGCCUAUUGAUUACAGAAUGAACCCAUUCACCCCAGGACAGUCUCAAGGAACAUAGAAAUCAGAUUGGCUUCCCACUGACACACCAACUGUUAAAUCCUUGCUUGCUUCCUUAGUGACCGUCCAGUUGGGAAUCUUACUGUCUCUCUAGGCUAAAUGCACAUGUCUGAUAUGGGUCAAUACACAUAAUCAUCCUUUACAAACUUCGGUUUACUGCAGACCAUGAGUGUUCACUUUCUGCAAAUCUUAAUGCCCAAAUCACUGGUGUGGACCUAAGCUAACUGCCCCUAUUCCUGGGCCCCUUGAAGACUGCAGCUUAUUGUGAGUGCCACACACUUCCUUGGAAGACCUCACACCAGGAGGCACUGCUGUUCCUAACAGUGAAUUCCUCCUGCCCACAUCAUCUAGUCUGUACUCACCCGACCACUGCUCCUCAAUGGCUCUAAUCUGGUCAUCUGUAAAGUUCCACGAACGGGCCAGCCUCUGCCACUCAUUGGCCUUCAGCUGAUGGUAAGCCAGGUCCCAGAGAAGCGUGCGAAUGUGUCUGGUCUCCAGACUGUGAUCUUGCUUGAAUGUCAGAGUAAAGCCUGUUGACGGGUCCCUGAUGCUCUCAUGAUGCUCCUAAAGUGAAAAUAAUUGUAUCAGAAGAUUUCAGACAUGUUCUACUUAUUACCUUAUUUCAGAGUAUAUAUGUUUUUCAAACAUAACUAGUAAGGUGGUAACCGAGACUAUGUUUUCAAUGCCUCCUGUCACUGGAUCAUAUAUAUAUUUUUUUUUUUUGCCAUCCAAAAUGGAAAUAAAUGCUUGAAAUUAAAAGCUUGGGUACCGUCUGUCUGACACAGGAAAUGUGAGGGAUUUUGCCUAUUGUGUCCCAUGCUGCUUAGAACAGAGAAUGAGAACAGAGAGGCUGUCUUGGCAAAGGAUGUGUCACAACAACAAAACCAUCUUUAAUGGCCUUUGUUUGAACCCAUACCCCCAUUUCUUCUUUUGGGUAUUUGAUGUUCUCAUAUUGAAGCUUCGGUGAGCCCAGAUUGGCUGUAUCCUUAAUAAGACCCCACAGCUGGUCCCUCAUUCAUCCUGCUCUCUGGUGAGCAUAAGGAGAGUAAACUAGGAGCCUAGCUCAGGCUGGGGCUUGGGGAAGAGGUGACUAAGGGAGUGGAGAGGACAGGAGUGGACAUCAUUUAAAGUCACUAUAGCCAGGCUCAGACCAACAGCACUAUGCCUAGAUUGGCAUCUUGUUUUCUGACUGUUGAAAGGUUCCUUUUGUCCCUUCUGCAGAAUCCACCAGAGUCCUGCAGAAUCAAACCACAAACACCGGAGAAAAUCACUGAGUGAAAGCAGGCAUCACUGCUUCCUAGAACUGCAUGCUGUGCUUAUGCCACUAGGCCUCCAGGCAAGAAAAGUUGCAAGGAGGAUGGUGUGACCUUUAAAAGAAUCCAUAUAUAUCAAGACUACCAAGCUAAUUAAACAGGAUUGUGAGAGAGAAGGAGAUGAGUAAAUGCUUUUUGCUUUAAGGAUUUAAGGGAAAUUUCCCAAGACUGGCCAGGUGGACAGCAAUCCAGAUGAAUAAGGUUUUCGUGACUCUCACAGAAUACUUGAGUGCCUGAAAGCCUGCACAGCGGUGUGUUGAAAACUGCCGAGCCACACAAAGGAGUUUUUUAACCACUCAUUCGUGCUACUGGGAAUAGCUCAUGGCCAGACUGUGGACAGAGGGAACAACCAGGCGUCACCCAUCAGGGGCUCACACGCUAGGCCCAUUAUAGCUGGCCUGGUCAAUGCCGCUUGGCCCUAGUGAACUCUACGCGCUCUCAGUUCUGACGUCUGAUGUCCACAAAGGAAGAGGCAGCUGUUCAUUCCACGAAUGGGGGCAGCACAAGACAGAAGGGACAGUUAUAAUUGUACUGACCAGAGCUCUGCUCAUUAGAGCAAAGAAUGGCACAGACCCCCCCAUUGCCCCUGCAAGAAGAUGGGUGUUGCCAGGAAAGCCCCUGCUGUGCUGGGAUCGUCCUUCCUUACCUCUCUCCAGGCGUAGUAUCUCUCUGCUUUAAUGAGCAUGCCCACGACAAGGCUAUGGUUGCUCCUGGAGGCCACAGCCAGGGCAGUCUUUCCUUGCUAAAAUUAAAAAAGAAAAAAAAUUCAGGUGAUAUGGCCUAGUGAUUAGGAGCUCUAGUUUUGGAACAAGGGGGCCUCGGUUCAAAUCUUGAUUCUACCAGCCCAUGCUGGGUAAACUUAGGCCAGUCCUUUGCUUCUUUGGGUCUUUAUAACUACCCCAUAGUGGAGUGGUCAGGGGUAAAUGUGAUAAUGCAUAUAAAGCCUUUAGAACCUGUGCCACCCUGAAUAUUUCCUAGCCUCUUUUGCAGUUAGUUAUGUGACCUAAGUUCUGGCCAAUGGUCUGUAAAUAGAAGUGGGACAUGCAACUUCUGGGAAGUAUCUUUAAACAGAAGAGAGAUGAAUGGCAUUUUCCUUCUUUUCUUCUCCCUCCUGAGUGGAAUGCUGACAUGAUGGCAGGAGCCUGAACAGCCACUUUAGACCAGGAAGUAGAAGCCAUGUUUUGAGGAGCACUGAGUAAUAAGACAGAAAAGGGCUGGAUCUUAUUAAGAAUAAUAUCAAUAAUGGCAACCCUGGUAAUUCAUAGGUCACUGGACCCCUAACUAGAAAUUUUUUCUAUUAUACCAUACUGCCUCUCACCAAGGGUGAGAGGUUUUAAUCUUAAACAAAUGGAAUGAUCAACAAGGGCUGUUCUGGACAUAAUUUUGGGAAUGAACUGCCUGGAGCCCACAUGGUAACUUAGACGAAUUACAAAAAGGUACACUUUUCUCAAGAUGGACAGAGCUCAAAGCCAGGGCAUAGAGCUUUGCAAGCAGAAUCCUCUGGAUUUCAUAGAGUGCACCACUUCAACAUCUAAAUAUUUUUCCCUGAGCAAAGGAUGGUGGUUCUCAUUUGCUUUUCAAAUGACCCAUGAAGAAUUUGCUCAGAAAACAAUUAAAAUUAAUGGUCAGAAAUGACCCAAGAAGAAGAGUUCCAAUCUUAGGAACCCUUAUGGAUCCAGAAAUAUAUCCCAAGUAUUAUCUUACAUGGUUAGAUAUUUGCAACAAGUGCGAUUCCCACCAAUAUAAAUGAUUUGGUUCUUAGUCUAGGCACUAAGACCCAGGGGAGCAGGAAAAUUAGGGCUGAAAGUAAUCAGCCUGUAAUCAAAAGAGACAGUAAUGAAAUUAGGAAGAACUGCAUUUUGCAGGCAUUUAGCAAGCCUCUAAUUGUAUGCUGUCUACAUUCUGUCUUGCAGAGCCAUUUGAAUCACUAUAAUUAGCCUGCUUUGAGAAGGCAGCAUUCUGAGAGCCAGAGUUUCCAAGUUCAAAGGAAAAUCUUCCUAAGGAAUAUAUGCUGGAGUGAAAAUCCAAACACUUCUACCCUUAGGGGUUGGGAGGUAGCGUGGAUAGAAGGUUCUCUGAGAGCUUUUUGACACCUCAGGCCAAGAGGACAAGCAGAGAACAAGCUGCUGGGAAAGUCAAAUUUAUACCAAACUUUGAUUCCUUAUUUCCUAACCAGACCCUAACAUGGUCCUAGAAACACUUUUCUUUGGCAAAAAAAAAAAAAAAAAAAAAAAAAUUGUGGGAGCCAAUAGAAAAGAUAUUUUUUAUUCAUUUAUUAACUAUGUAUUGGGUGCCAACUAUGUGCCAGACCUUGAAAAGAAAGGAGAAGAAGGGAAAUCUGGGAAAGUCAAAUCAUGAGGCCCAGUAAACUGUGAGCUCUUGUUUUGAAAACAAAGUCAAAUGGUAGCAUUGACUGUAUUUACUGGAAUAUCUAGUCCACUAAGCAGCAGGGACCCCAACAUAAAUCCCUGCCCAAUGCUAUAGAUUUCGUACCCACAGAAUGGCUUUGGGGGUAUUAAGUAUUCAUGAAAAAGUAGAAUAAAAUACAAAACAACAGCAUUAAAAAAUACUAAGGCUAAAUGUUAAACCAAAUUAACCAGGCACAACUGGUGAAAGUGGUGGAAUUCCACACAAGUGAUAACAUUCUGUGUUGUGUUUUCCUCCUUAAGCUUUUCUGUGUUCUAAAUCGUCCACAGUGGGCCUGUGUUACUUUUUUUUUUUUUUUUUUUUUUUUUUUUUCAGACGGAGUUUCGCUCUUUCACCCAGACUGGAGUGCACUGGCACGGUCUCGGCUCACUGCAACCUCCGCCUUCCGGUUUCAAGUGAUUCUUCUGCCUCAGCCCCCGCUGUAGCUGGGAUUACAGUUGCGCAUCACCAUGCCCGGCUGAUUUGUGUAUUUUUAGUAGAGACAGGGUUUCACCAUGUUGGUCAGGCCGGUCUCAAACUCCUGACCUCAUGAUCUGCCUGCCUCAGCCUCCCAAAGUGCUGAGAUUACAGGUGUGAGCCACCGCGCCCAGCCAGUCUGUGUUACUUUUUUUAUGAUCAGAAAAAAAAAAACAAAAAAACCUAAUUUUAGAAACUGACACACAGAGAAAAGUAAAAUAACAUAUAACUACUUUAGAUCCUACACAUGUAAAAUGGAUGAUUCUGAACUAGAGUAGGGUGGACUCAGGCUUGCACUGUGACUUAGGGAAGUGCUGGCUAUUGAACUGUUGGGUAAAAAUAAGGAAGGGAAAACUGCAAGUUUCGGAAGCAGUCAUCUUUGCUGACAGUUGUAGCAAAGCACCAGAUGACAAAGCAGCCACUACUUGGAUUUGAAGCCAGCUCUGCCUCUUACUAUGCGUGUGACCCAAUGUCAUCAGAAUCUCUCCAAUCUGCUCUUGAAAACUGGAGUGAUUUUGUCCACCUCACUGAAAUGUGAGGAUUGAAGUAAUAUGGCCUGCGUGAGCACCUGACAGGACUGUACCCAGGGACCUCCUAUAUAACAUUCAGUAAAGCUGGAACCUAACACAGCUCUCUGACAACCCUCCGGAGGCUUAGCCUGCAUUACUGCACCACUUGAAAGAAACAAAAUUGUCCUUCUUUAAAAACAGGUUUACACAAUAGCCAAAAGGUGGACGCAACCCAAAUGUCCAUCGAUGGAUGAAUGAAUGAACAAAAUGUGGUAUAGACAUACAAUGAAAUGUUAUUUAGCUUUGAAAAGAAAUGAAAUUCUGACACAUGCUACAACAUAGAUAAACCUUGAAGACGUUACGCUAAGUGAACUAAGCCAGUCACAAAAAGGCAAAUACUAUGUGAUUCCACUUAUAUGAGGUACUUAGAGUGGUCAAAUUCAUAGAAACAGAAAGUAGAAUGGUGGUUCCCAGGGGCUGGGAGAAGGAAGAAAUGGCAAGUUAUUGAAUAAGUGUAAAGUUUCACUUUUGCAAGAUGAAAGUUUUGGAGACCAAUUGCAUAACAAUGUGAAUAUGCUUAACCAUACUGAACUAUAUACAUAAAAAUGGUUAAGACAGUGUUUAUGUGUGUGUAUUUUACCACAAAUUUUUUAAUUUAAAAAAACAAGUUUAGACAUAUGUAAAGUCAUUCAUUGCAGCUAUGUUUAUAAGAGCAAAACCUUAGGAACAACUUAAAUGUCAAUCAAGUGAGGACUAGCUGAACAAGUUGUGAUAUGUCUGUGCCACGCUAUACUAUGCAGCUCUAAAAAAAAAAAGAAUGAAGAAACUCUCCAUGUAGUAAUAUCUCCACUUAAUAAUGCUAAAAAAGCUAAAUGCAGAACAGUAUACUAGUUAUAGGUAUGCCAUCAGUGUCUAAAAAGGAAGGAGGAAGGGAAUAAGAGUAAAAUGUGUUUAUGUUUGCUUGCAUAUGCAUAAAAAACUCUGGAAGGAACAGAAAUAAUUUAUAAUAAUGGAUAUAUAUAAGCGGGGUAGUAUGGUAACCAGACAAGUAGGAACAGGGGUGGGUGGGAAAUUUUUACUGUUAAACCCUUACUAAUUAUAUUCUUUUAUUUCUGGACCAUACGAAUCUAUAAUCUUUUCAGAAUUUGAAUUUAAAAACACAUAUUUUUUCUUCAGAGUAAAAAUUUUUACUGACAUAGCUCAACCAAAAUUGGGGUAUUUUACUGACUAUGAAGAUGCAUGGUUUCUCCAGUUUGUGCCCAUUUCACAAAGGAUAUUCCAAUAACGCUGCUCAAGGCUGACAUCCAACAGGAAGGUCUUAGCAACCAUCUCAGCUGAAUGGAGUAAAGUCCAUGCACUUACCUUGUCAACAGCCUUCAAGUCACAGCCUGCCUUCAGCAGGGUUUCCACCAGUUCCACAUUUCCACGAUCAGCAGCUACAUGCAGAGGGGUUUGCUGCUUCUGCCAUGAAAUUAAGGAGGGGAACAAACUUGGACGGUGAAAAGACAAAUGGAAAGUAUAGCCAUCCUAUUUAGGUUCAAGGGAAAACACAGGUCAUAUAUUUUUUAAUGGAUACUGGGGCAUUCAUUGCAUUAUUAUUUGCAAUAGUGAAAAACUGAAAGGAAAUUACAUGUUUAACAAGGAGACUCACUAGAUAAAUUAUGAUAAUCUAUAUAUUGGAAUAACAGGCAACCAUUAAAAAUUAUUUUUUUAAAAAUGAUUUCAAUAUUAGGUACCUAAAGUAGUCAAAUAUAUAGAGACAGAAAGUAGAAUGGUGGUUCCCAGGAGCUGGAGGAGGGAAUGGGAAGUUACCGUUUAAUAGAUAUAAAAUUUCAGUUUGGGAAGAUGAAAAAUGUUCUGAAGAUGGAUGGUGGUGAUAUUAUACCAAAUGAAUGUAAUUAAUGCUGCUGAACUGUACACUUAAGAUGGUUAAAAUGGUGGAUUUUAUGUGUAUUUUACUACAAUAAAAAUUAUUUCGAAGAUUUUUUAAAAAUAAAAGACGCUUUUGAUAUAACAUUUGAAACUUUAGGAAAUGAUACUAUCUAGUUGAGCUUGAUUUAAUGAAAAAUACACAUAGAGAAAGAGACAAAAAUACAGUACAGAAAAAUGCUAAUGAUAAGGUCUAGAUGAAG
rnacentral:lncRNA from 10 species